AUAAUACUCCCUCCGUAUGGAAUUACUUGUCAUCAAAAUGGAUGUGUCUAGAGCUAAAAUACAUCUAGAUACAUCCAUUUCAAUGACAAGUAUUUUCGAACGGAGGGAGUAGUAG
rnacentral:pre_miRNA from 1 species